rnacentral:rRNA from 1 species
UACAGAGGGUGCAAACGUUGUUCGGAAUUACUGGGCGUAAAGCGUGUGUAGGCGGCUAGGUAAGUCGGAUGUGAAAGCCCCAGGCUCAACCUGGGAAGUGCACUCGAUACUGCUUAGCUCGAGUACUGGAGAGGUUGGUGGAAUUCUCGGUGUAGAGGUGAAAUUCGUAGAUAUCGAGAGGAACACCGGUGGCGAAGGCGGCCAACUGGACAGAUACUGACGCUGAGACACGAAAGCGUGGGGAGCAAACAGG